GGAAGCAAAAGUCGUAACAAGGUUUCCGUAGGUGAACCUGCGGAAGGAUCAUUAUUGUAUAACCGAGGUGCGAGGGCUGUCGCUGACCCGAAAGGUCGUGCACGCCCGAGUGCCAUCACACACAUCCAUCUCACCCCUAUGUGCACCACCGCGUGGGUCCCCCUUUGGCUUGUUCGGAGGGGGGCUUACGUUUUCACACAAACUUUGUAUGCAGUGUAGAAUGUAUUUUUUGUUUUUGCGAUCACGCAAUCAAUACAACUUUCAACAACGGAUCUCUUGGCUCUC
rnacentral:misc_RNA from 1 species